CGGGCCAUAGCUCAGAUGGAAGAGCGAGUGACUGUAACUGUAACCUCCUAUCCAGAUUCAUCUGGUAGCGAUCACUAGGUCCUGGGUUCGAUUCCCAGUGGCCCGA